rnacentral:rRNA from 1 species
GUUUCUAUCUAUAAAGUGCUUUCUUCCAGUACGAAAGGACCGAAGAAAAGAGGCCCAUGCUUAAAGUAAGCCUCACCCCCACCUAAUGAAAACAACUUAAUUAGGCAAAAGGAGCCUCCCCCUGCCAGAGAUAAUAGCU